UACGGGGGGGGCAAGCGUUGUUCGGAAUUACUGGGCGUAAAGGGCGCGUAGGCGGCUCGCUAAGUCGGAUGUGAAAACUCUGGGCUCAACCCAGAGCCUGCAUUCGAAACUGACGAGCUCGAGUUCUGGAGGGGAAAGCGGAAUUCCCAGUGUAGCGGUGAAAUGCGUAGAUAUUGGGAGGAACACCAGUGGCGAAGGCGGCUCACUGGACCGGUACUGACGCUGAUGCGCGAAAGCGUGGGGAGCAAACGGG
rnacentral:rRNA from 1 species